CCCGGGGAUGAAUGUGUUUACUCGGCAAAAUUGUGUGAGAGAAGCAACCGAUCAGUUUUCUUCUGAUGUCUACGUCUCGAAUGCUCUCGAUUUUUCGCCCAUUCAGUCUCUAAUCACUUUUCUUGGAUCAUGUUCGUGCUGUACAAGUUGGCAUGUUUCGUUAUCAACUGUUUGAUU
ensembl:snoRNA K10D2.10 ncRNA